GAAGGCGGGGGGAGCAAAGACUUUCGCCCCCCGCCCGCCUUCAGAAGAGGUCCAGGACCUCUUCUGAAGGCUGGCGGGGGGGCAAAAGUCUUUGCUCCCCCCACCUUC
rnacentral:miRNA from 1 species